CGCGCGUCGGGACGGGGACUACACACCAGCCGGCGCGGGAUAGGCCGGGACUGAGGGACUGUCUUGAGAAACCGGCACAGGCGGCGAGGCUAGCACCUGAAGACGAACGGCUGGCGGGC
ncrna:unclassified sequences Betaproteobacteria-1 RNA